rnacentral:tRNA from 1 species
UCCCUGGUGGCCUAGAGGUUAAGGUCUCAGCAUUGUCAUUGCUGUGGCUCGGGUUUGAUUCCUGACCUGGGAA